CUAAGGGGGGUUCGUAGGCUGGUGCCAUUGCCUUUAUGAAUAAUUUAGCAUUACUUGUGGUCAUCACUAGAAUGAAGCAAGAACAGAUGCUGCCAAUCACCCUGGUGCAUCAGCUGCAGAAAACCCGAAUCUAGAUACCUGUAUUGAACACCAUAUGCACUUCCUGACUCAUGGCAAGUUUUCAGGAAGAAGACCACCAUCAUAGCUAAGCUAAGCUAAGCUUAGUCACGGUGAUAGUAAACCAAACAUGCUGCAGUCCAGGCACCAAAGAAAUGAACAUCAGGGGAUGCAAAAUAAAAUAUGAAAAUUGUACGUCGCAAAGCCGAAAGGGUGAUGGGUGGAUGCAUCCUUGCAUCAUAUUUGAUGAAGAUGUCCAAGCAAAAUAACUCAGCAACCAUCACAGCUAAGCUAAGCUCAGUCAAAGUGACAGUAAACCGAACAUGCUGCAGUCCGGCCACCAAAGAAAUGAACAUCAGGGGAUGCAAAAUAAAAUAUGAAAAUUGUACGUGAUGGGUGGAUCAGUGGAUGCAUCCUUGCAUCAUAUUUGAAGAUGUCCAAGCAAAGUAACUCAGCAACCUUCUUUGUCUCAUGAUUAAUCUGGACACUAAUUUCAUUAUUUCAGUGGCAUUUGCUUCAGAAAAGAGAUGCUCUCAACCAUAGUGACUCUAUCCUGCAGUCCAGAGCAAAACAAAAAAUCAAAUUAGCUGCUUAUUAAGGCACUGAAAGAUGAAAUUAAGAAGGUCAAUCUAUUGACAGCUGAAUUAAGAGCUAUGUAGUGUACAUGCUCCAGGAGGACAAAAGUAAAGGAGUGUGAGUAGCUACAGCAGCAUUUUACCAGCACCAAUUUAUUGAACAUAGUUAGUACAUCUCUAUCUACUAAUACAUAGGUCUGUCACUUUGCUUCUCUUGCAACACCAAUGCUUACACCUUCCACUGCAUGUAACAUUCAGAUUACCCUUGCGAUAUUUAAUUUGUAAAACAAAACUAACAUAUAUUCCUUCUAUACCCAAUUGCAAUUACCAGUAGCAAGCAGUUUACAUCCCACAUCAAGCGCAAUCACAAAACUGAACUUAAAGCCCCGAGAUGAAUGAAUCCAUAAGUACAAAUAUUCAAGCGGCGAAUUUUCUUUCCAGAAAAGAAAGAGAUGUUAAUCAGCGGUAAUUUUUGUAAGUGGCAAUUUUUGAAGGGGAGCAUUGGCGCAGCGGCAAAGCUUUGCCUUGUAACAAUGAGGCGACGGGUUCGAGUCCGGGAACCAGCCUCUUGCGGAAAUGUAGGGAAAGGCUCUGUAGAAAAGACCCAAAGUGGUCGGACCAUUCCCCGGACCUGGCGCAAGCGGGAGCUACGUGCACCGGGAUGCCCAUUUUCUAAAAGGAAGACGGUUAUGUAAACAUUUAAAAUUUUGCUUCCAAGUUCUAAGUUUCUAACUCAUGCUAUCUUAAGUGAAUCCAUCCAGCACAUAUUUCAAUUCUGAAAAUAUAACUACACCUGACUGCCAGGAAGAACUUUCUUGGAUCCAGGUUUGUGCAGUUCACGCCCUGCCUCAUAUGAGGGCAGCGGAUCGAUAAGUGGACAGCCCAAUGUGUCAUGCUGCAAACACACGAGAUUUCAUGGAGAAAUCCAACUGUUUUUUUUACCUCUGCAUCACCCAUAACUCGAAGAGAUCCACAUUAAUAGCAGAUGUGAAAACAAAAAUCACAGGCCAAGUAGUCCUGGGAAAACAGGAACUUGUUCAUAAAUGUUCAACUCUAAUAUACCACAAUGGAACAUGGCACCAUAAGAGAGAAAGUUUCCAUGUUCUCUGAGUUCUACUCAACUCGAGAUACCUGAAAGCUUAACAAAAAAACUCGUUUUCUUCGCGUAUAAGUUAUAACAGAACAAUGCAACUGAAAACUAGGUGUACGCUCUGCAUCAUCUCUUAAAGAUCCAAGAGUAUAUAGGCUACAAUGACAAGUCUUUCUGUAGUUUACCAUUCUGCAUAAAAGAACUAAUAAAUGCAUCAUACAUGGACAGUAAGACACUGAAUGUGUGAAAUCAUAAUCAUACAUGAGAACAACCUUCCUUCAGUACACUUCAAAUCCAUACUUUCCUAGGACAACAUAGCAAAGCAUAGAGUACUGAACCAAUAUAGCAGGUGUUCAGUUGUGCUCACCUUUCAUGAUCCCCAGGACAAUAAGACCACAGAAGAACAUGCAAGGUGAAACAACCUUCGUCAACUCAAUUUGGUGAUAGCUGACAAAAGAACAGGAGGAGUCCAUGCACAAGAUUAGUCCAUAUACUGGGUGGUGUACCAGAUAUGGCAGAUGAGAUGAAUACACCUGCAAAUAAGGUGGGGACAUAAGGUAUGAGCUUACUGAAAUAAUAAUGCUGCAAACAACAAGUAUAAAAAAUUGCUUUACAUAAAAGUUCAGCACUACAGGCAAAACAAUGCUUAGAAAUCUAGAGAAUGCUGACCUUAAUUUAAACACAAAUCUAUCAAGAUAAUCAAGAAAUAAAGAUGAACCAAUGUGACAGAUCGAGUGACAUGUAUCUGAGAAUAAAAGGAUUGUUAUUCAAAUAAUAAAAGUACGGCCACUAAACCUGCCACGAUAUCCAUCACAUACAUACCACAAACUGUACAAACAUAAGCAUACUACUUUCAUCUACUCCCUCCGUUCCAAAAUAUAAGACCUUUUAGAGAUUUCACUAUGGACUACGUACGGAGCAAAAUGAGUGAAUCUACACUCUAAAAUAUGUCCAUAUACAUCCGUAUGUAGUCUACAGUGAAAUCUCUAAAAGGUCUUAUAUUUUGGAACGGAGGAAGUAGGAGCUAAUGUAAUAGAGAAAGACAGAUAAAUACAAUAGUUGGCAUGUUGGAGUUCAUGGAAUCGAGAGUGUAACUACAUUGAACCCAGGGAUAGCGACACAUUCAGUAGCUGACAAACAGGAGCAGAAAAAUCAAGAGACAAAUGAAAUCAGGCUAGAAAAAGAAUAUUUUCAGUGAAGCUAGUUUACCUAAGAGGGUUUCUUAAACUGGUGACAUUCCCUUUAUGAAUUAUUUAGCAUUACUUGUGGUCAUCACUAGAAUGAAGCAAGAACAGAUGCUGCCAAUCACCCUGGUGCAUCAGCUGCAGAAAACCCGAAUCUAGAUACCUGUAUUGAACACCAUAUGCACUUCCUGACUCAUGGCACGUUUUCAGGAAGAAGACCACCAUCAUAGCUAAGCUGAGCUAAGCUUACUCACGGUGACAGUAAACCGAACAUGCUGCAGUCCAGGCACGAAAGAAAUGAACAUCAGGAGAUGCAAAAUAAAAUAUGAAACUUGUACGUUGCAAAGCCGAAAUGGUGAUGGGUGGAUGCAUCCUUGCAUCAUAUUUGAUGAAGAUGUCCAAGCAAAAUAACUCAGCAACCGUCUUUGUCUCAAGAUUAAUCUGGGCACCAAUUUCAGUAGCAUUUGCUUCAGAAAAGAGAUGGUCUCAGCCAUAGUGACUCUAUC
rnacentral:lncRNA from 1 species